GGGAAGCUGCUAGUAGCAAAGAGGAAGGGACGGCUAACUCCGUGCCAGCAGCCGCGGUAAUACGGAGGUCCCAAGCGUUGUUCGGAUUCACUGGGCGUAAAGGGUGCGUAGGCGGUCGGGAAAGUUUGAUGUGAAAGCUCCGGGCUCAACCUGGAAAAUGCAUUGAAAACUAUCCGACUAGAGGAUUGUAAGGGAGACUGGAAUUCUCGGUGUAGCAGUGAAAUGCGUAGAUAUCGAGAGGAACACCAGUGGCGAAGGCGAGUCUCUGGACAAUUCCUGACGCUGAGGCACGAAAGCUAGGGGAGCAAACAGGAUUAGAUACCCUGGUAGUCCUAGCCGUAAACGGUGCACGCUUGCUGUGAGCGGAUUCGACCCCGUUCGUGGCGAAGCUAACGCGUUAAGCGUGCCGCCUGGGGAGUACGGUCGCAAGAUUAAAACUCAAAGAAAUUGACGGGGGCCUGCACAAGCGGUGGAGUAUGUGGCCUAAUUCGAUGCAACGCGAAGAACCUUACCUGGCCUUGACAUGCAUCUCUAAGUCGGUGAAAGCCGGCGAGGUAGCAAUACCAAUUUGCACAGGUGCUGCAUGGCUGUCGUCAGCUCGUGUCGUGAGAUGUUGGGUUAAGUCCCGCAACGAGCGCAACCCUCAUGUUCUGUUGCCACUCGAACGAGAGUUCGAAGCACUCUGAACAGACUGCCCCAUUUAAAUGGGGAGGAAGGUGGGGAUGACGUCAAGUCAGUAUGGCCCUUACGGCCAGGGCUGCACACGUACUACAAUGCCCGGCACAAAGGGAUGCGAUACCGUGAGGUGGAGCGAAUCCCAUAAAACCGGGCCCAGUUCGGAUUGUAGUCUGCAACUCGACUACAUGAAGCCGGAAUCGCUAGUAAUGGCGCAUCAGCUACGGCGCCGUGAAUACGUUCCCAGGCCUUGUACACACCGCCCGU
rnacentral:rRNA from 1 species